rnacentral:rRNA from 1 species
GAUGAACGCUGGCGGCGUGCCUAAUACAUGCAAGUCGAGCGAAUGGAUUAAGAGCUUGCUCUUAUGAAGUUAGCGGCGGACGGGUGAGUAACACGUGGGUAACCUGCCCAUAAGACUGGGAUAACUCCGGGAAACCGAGGCUAAUACCGGAUAACGUUUUGAACCGCAUGGUUCGAAAUUGAAAGGCGGCUUCGGCUGUCACUUAUGGAUGGACCCGCGUCGCAUUAGCUAGUGGGUGAGGUAACGGCUCACCAAGGCAACGAUGCGUAGCCGACGCGAGAGGGUGAUCGGCCACACUGGGACUGAGACCCGGCCCAGACUCCUACGGGAGGUAGCAGUAGGGAAUCUGCCGCAAUGGACGAAAGUCUGACGGGGCAACGCCGCGUGAGUGAUAAAGGCUUUCGGGUCGUAAAACUCUGUUGUUAGGGAAGAACAAGUGCUAGUUGAAUAAGCUGACACCUUGACGGUACCUAACCAGAAAGCCACGGCUAACUACGUGCCAGCCGCCGCAGUAA